rnacentral:rRNA from 1 species
UGGUGGGGUGACUUGUCUGCUUAAUUGCGAUAACGAACGAGACCUUAACCUGCUAAAUAGCCCGCAUUGCUCCGGCAGUGCGCUGGCUUCUUAGAGGGUCUUUCGGCUCAAGCCGAAGGAAGUUUGAGGCAAUAACA